CUCAGCCCAGGGCUGGGACCCCACCAGGGCUGGGACUGCCCGGCCUGGCCCCCGCCCGCGCCUCCCCGCGCCACCCCGCCCCUCCCAGCGCCACCCAGCGCCCCACACCGUGCGCUCUCCACGCACCCGCCGGCGCGGCCAGACCGGGUAGCCAGAAAAAUCAUUUUUCUUCGCUGGGAAGGUGAACAUUUGUAGCAUUGAUUUCCCGGAUCUGGUAACAUGGCAAAAGAUGCCGGUCUUAUUGAAGCCAACGGAGAACUCAAGGUCUUCACAGGCCAAAACCUUAGUCCCGGAAAAGUCGUGGUGUCCCUCGUGGCCGUUCACCCCUCCACCGCCAACCCGCUCGGGAAGCAGCUCUUGGCAAAAACCUUUGGACAGUCCAAUGUCAACAUUGCCCAGCAAGUGGUAAUUGGUACGCCUCAGAGACCAGCAGCGUCAAACGCCCUGGUGGUAGGAAGCCCACACAUCCCCAGCACUCACUUUGCCUCUCAGAGCCAGCCUUCCGACUCCUCACCUUGGGCUGCCGGGAAGCGCAACAGAAAAGGAGAGAAGAAUGGCCAAGGGCCUGCGGCACUUCUCCAUGAAAGUCUGCGAGAAGGUUCAGAGGAAUGGGACCACUUCCUACAACGAAGUGGGGGACGAGCUGGUCUCGGAGUUCAGUGCUGCCGACAACCACAUCUUACCAAACGAGUCAGGUUAUGACCAGAACAGCAUACGACGGCGCCUCUACGAUGCCGUAAACGUGCUGAUGGCCAUGAACAUCAUCUCCAAGGAGAAAAAGGAGAUCAAGUGGAUUGGUCUGCCCACCAACUCGGCUCAGGAAUGUCAGAACUUAGAGGUGGAAAGACAGAGGAGACUUGAAAGAAUAAAAGAGAAACAGUCUCAACUUCAAAACUUAUUCUACAGCAAAUUGCCUUCAAGAACCUGGUGCAGAGAAACCGGCACUCAGAGCAGCAAGCCAGCCAGCCGCUGCCACCCAACUUGGUCAUCCACCUGCCCUUCAUCAUCAUCAACACCAGCAAGAAGACCAUCAUCGACUGCAGCAUCUACAAUGACAAUUUCGAGUGUCUGUUUAAUUUUGACAACACAUUUGAAAUUCACGACGACACAGAAGCGCUGAAGCAGAUGGGCAUGGCCUGCGGGCUGGAGUCUGGGAGCUGCUCUGCUGAAGACCUUAAAAUGGCCAGAAGUCUGGUCCGAAAGGCUCUGGAGCCGUACGUGACAGAAAUGGCUCAGGGAACGUUGGAGGCGUGUUCAUCACGAUGGCAGGUUCCACGUCUAACGGCACGAGGUUCUCUGCCAGUGACCUGACCAACGGUGCAGCUAGGACGCUGGCCACAAGCCCCGAUGGGUCUCAGUACAGCGGCUCCAGGGUGGAGACCCUGGUGUCUUAAGUCGGGGAGGAGGACGAGGAGGUUAAUGUCUUCAACGAGAAUGAGGAGGACGACUGACGUUCUCCCCACUUCAAAUUCAGCUUCAGGAAAACGUUUACGGGAAA